AUGAUAGAUAACCUACUACCAGCAAUACAAGCAUCUUGGCCUGAGAAUGAUGCUGGGCAAACCAUCUAUAUACAACAAGACAACGCCAAGCCCCAUAUCUUGCCCAACGACCCAGAAUUUGUAGCAGCCGCGGAAAGAACUGGACUCGACAUCAGACUAAUUCAACAACCUGCCAAUAGCCCUGAUCUGAAUGGCCUUGACCUUGGGUUCUUCAACUCGUUGCAAUCUCUGACAGAUUGUCUAAGCCCUAGAACGCUUCAGGAUCUUAUCAAGGGUGUGCUAGAUGAAUUUGAAAACUAUGAAGUUUACAAGCUGAACAGAGUUUUCCUAUCUCUACAAGCUUGCAUGAUUGAAAUCUUGAACCACGCAGGGGGCAAUGGGUAUAAAAUACCCCAUGCGAACAAGGAAAGGCUAGAGAACCUUGGGAUGCUACCUCCAAGACUUACAUGCCCUGAAGAGGUAUAUGCAAAUGCCAUGCACAAUCUUGGGAUAAUGGAGAGAGUUCAGUGA
rnacentral:rRNA from 1 species